rnacentral:rRNA from 1 species
CGGCGGACGGGUGAGUAACACGUGGGUAACCUACCUAUAAGACUAGGACAACUUCGGGAAACCGGAGCUAAUACCGGAUAAGAUAUCGAACCGCAUGGUUCGAUAGUGAAAGAUGGUUUUGCUAUCACUUAUAGAUGGACCCGCGCCGUAUUAGCUAGUUGGUGAGGUAACGGCUCACCAAGGCAACGAUACGUAGCCGACCUGAGAGGGUGAUCGGCCACACUGGAACUGAGACACGGUCCAGACUCCUACGGGAGGCAGCAGUA